GACGAACGCUGGCGGCGUGCUUAACACAUGCAAGUCGAACGGGAAGGCCCUGCUUUUGUGGGGUGCUCGAGUGGCGAACGGGUGAGUAACACGUGAGUAACCUGCCACUCACUUUGGGAUAACUUCAGGAAACUGGGGCUAAUACCGGAUAGGAGCUCCUGCUGAAUGGUGGGGGUUGGAAAGUUUCGGCGGUUGGGGAUGGACUCGCGGCUUAUCAGCUUGUUGGUGGGGUAGUGGCUUACCAAGGCUUUGACAGGUAGCCGGCCUGGGCGGGUGACCGGCCACAUUGGGACUGAGAUACGGCCCAGACCCCUACGGGAGGCAGCGGUGGGGAAGAGAGCACUAUGGGCGGAAGCCUAAUGCAGCAACGCCGCGUGCGGGAUGACAUGAAUCGCGUUGUAAUCCGCUUUCGCCUGGGACGAAGCGUGAGUGACGGUAAUGGGUAAAGAAGCACCGGCUAACUACGUG
rnacentral:rRNA from 1 species